UCAGGACGAACGCUGGCGGCAUGCCUAAUACAUGCAAGUCGAACGAGCUUCCGUUGAAUGACGUGCUUGCACUGAUUUCAACAAUGAAGCGAGUGGCGAACUGGUGAGUAACACGUGGGGAAUCUGCCCAGAAGCAGGGGAUAACACUUGGAAACAGGUGCUAAUACCGUAUAACAACAAAAUCCGCAUGGAUUUUGUUUGAAAGGUGGCUUCGGCUAUCACUUCUGGAUGAUCCCGCGGCGUAUUAGUUAGUUGGUGAGGUAAAGGCCCACCAAGACGAUGAUACGUAGCCGACCUGAGAGGGUAAUCGGCCACAUUGGGACUGAGACACGGCCCAAACUCCUACGGGAGGCAGCAGUAGGGAAUCUUCCACAAUGGACGAAAGUCUGAUGGAGCAAUGCCGCGUGAGUGAAGAAGGGUUUCGGCUCGUAAAACUCUGUUGUUAAAGAAGAACACCUUUGAGAGUAACUGUUCAAGGGUUGACGGUAUUUAACCAGAAAGCCACGGCUAACUACGUGCCAGCAGCCGCGGUAAUACGUAGGUGGCAAGCGUUGUCCGGAUUUAUUGGGCGUAAAGCGAGCGCAGGCGGUUUUUUAAGUCUGAUGUGAAAGCCUUCGGCUUAACCGGAGAAGUGCAUCGGAAACUGGGAGACUUGAGUGCAGAAGAGGACAGUGGAACUCCAUGUGUAGCGGUGGAAUGCGUAGAUAUAUGGAAGAACACCAGUGGCGAAGGCGGCUGUCUAGUCUGUAACUGACGCUGAGGCUCGAAAGCAUGGGUAGCGAACAGGAUUAGAUA
rnacentral:rRNA from 1 species